UUUUAAUAAUGUUAAGAACAUUUUUGCGUGAAAUACAUGGUGUGCUUGUAAAUUAGAAAACUUUACAUGAAUUUAAAAUGUUUGUAAACUUUCCCUGGGGGUUUCUCCCACCACUCUGCAUUCCAGAGCCUUUAACUAACCCCCACACACCGCCCGUCUCCAACAACAUCACAAAUUAUCUCUACUGGGAAACAAUUUUAGAACAUUAGGACCAAUCCGUUAAAGUAUGAAAAACAACAACCCAUCAUUUGUUGCCUGUUAAUACCUUAAAGACUUUUACGCUUGCGACGUGUGGAAAUUUAUCUCAAACUUUCGAAAAAGCUGUCGCAAAUGUGAUAUUAAAAAUAAACUGUGUCUUAUUACAUUAUUUUAAAAACUUUAAGACCAACCCCGUGUGUUUAAAAUUUAUUUUCUGGGGAAACACAUCAUUUGUGUUUGUGUUGCGUGUUAAAACUUUAAAACUUAUAAACUGAUCUGUGAAUACUUUUCGCUCUCGAUAAAUCGGGGGGGGUCAUCACAACCAUUGUUGUGAUGCGUUUUAAAGCAUCACAACCAAUUGAAAAAUGUCUUGUGUUAUGUAGGCGUGUUACACCAUUGGCGCAUAUUCUUAAACGCUCCGGCCCGACAGGGUCGCAGUGCGUGCUUGGAGCUGUCAGACACCGCAGAGGUGCUGAAAUGGCUUCUUUGUGUGAAGAAACAACGGGGUCCGCUACUCUACAAAGUGAAGAGCAAAACCCGACCCCACCCUCUGCACCCUGUAACAGCUGCGGGGGUGUGAGUUCAGCUGGAGUACCAGAUGUUGAAGAACUGCCGGGUGCUAGCGAUGAUACCACGCUACUAAUGGUAAAUAUUAACGAAAAACCUUAGCUCAAAAGCGCGUUAAAUGCUCGAUAUUUUAGGUACAAAGCAUGUCUAUUUUGUUAAGCCUUCCUUUUCUUUUUCCUUUAAUAGAAUAAAGAGGAUGUGGACGGGUCAAUCUUCAGCCUACCGGCA
rnacentral:lncRNA from 1 species